rnacentral:rRNA from 1 species
UACAGGGGGGGCAAGCGUUGUUCGGAAUUACUGGGCGUAAAGGGCUCGUAGGUGGCCAACUAAGUCAGACGUGAAAUCCCUCAGCUUAACUGGGGAACUGCGUCUGAUACUGGAUGGCUUGAGUUUGGGAGAGGGAUGCGGAAUUCCAGGUGUAGCGGUGAAAUGCGUAGAUAUCGGGAGGAACACCAGUGGCGAAGGCGACUCCUGGCCUGUUCUUGACGCUGAGGCGCGAAAGCUAGGGUAGCAAACGGG